rnacentral:lncRNA from 1 species
AAAAACAAUGGUAUCACCCUAUUCAAAGGAUUGAAAGAGUCUUGUUUGGAGUUGUGUGGGGUUGAAUAUUUAUGUUUGUAAUAUUUUAGAAGUUGGUAGGAAAAGAAAAGAAAAAUAGAAAAGAAAAAAAAAUGAAAGAAAAAAAAAAAAGAAGGAUCUAUACAUGUCAAUACAUACUCCUUAUGAAAAAGAAAAAAAAAAGAAAAGAGAAAAAAAAUUAUAUGAAUGAAAAUAGUUAAUAUAGAGUUGUUGAAGUGAAUGAAAUAUUUUGUAAAUUCAACUCUCGCAGUUUCUUUCAAGUCUCUUUUGUCUUUUUGAAUUUUAGCCUAGUACCCCUUAGGA